GACGAACGCUGGCGGCGUGCUUAAUACAUGCAAGUCGAGCGAAUCGGCGAAUGGGUGAGUAACGCGUGGGUAAACGGCCCUUAAGCCUGGGAUACCAUUUGGUAACAGAUACUAAUACCGGAUAAUUAAGGAUUGACCUGAGAGGAAUUAGCUAGUUGGUAAGGUAACGGCUUACUAAGGCGAUGAUGCAUAGCCGAGUUGAGAGACUGAUCGGCCACAGUGGGACUGAGACACGGCCCAAACUCCUACGGGAGGCAGCAGUAGGGAAUCUUCCACAAUGGACGAAAGUCUGAUGGAGCAACGCCGCGUGAGUGAAGAAGGUUUUCGGAUCGUAAAGCUCUGUUGUUGGUGAAGCGGUAAUCAACCAGAAAGUCACGGCUAACUACGUGCCAGCAGCCGCGGUAAUAC
rnacentral:rRNA from 1 species